UUGGAGGGCAAGUCUGGUGCCAGCAGCCGCGGUAAUUCCAGCUCCAAUAGCGUAUAUUAAGGUUAUUGCAGUUAAAAAGCUCGUAGUUGAAUUUCGGGGUCAGUAUGUUGGUCAUGCCACCGGUAUGUACUGGUCUCACUGAUUCCUCCUUCCUGAUGAACUGUAAUGCCAUUAAUUUGGUGUUGCAGGGAAUCUGGACUGUUACUUUGAAAAAAUUAGAGUGUUUAAAGCAGGCUAACGCCUGAAUACAUUAGCAUGGAAUAAUGAAAUAGGACGUUCGAUCCUAUUUUGUUGGUUUCUAGGAUUGACGUAAUGAUUAAUAGGGAUAGUUGUGGGCAUUAGUAUUCAAUUGUCAGAGGUGAAAUUCUUGGAUCUAUUGAAGACUAACUACUGCGAAAGCAUUUGCCAAGGAUGUUUUCAUUAAUCAAGAACGAAAGUUAGGGGAUCGAAGACGAUCAGAUACCGUCGUAGUCUUAACCAUAAACUAUGCCGACUAGGAAUCAGACGAUGUUAAUUUUUUAAUGACUCGUUUGGCACCUUACGGGAAACCAAAGUGUUUGGGUUC
rnacentral:rRNA from 1 species